rnacentral:lncRNA from 10 species
CUUCUUUGUAUAUUUUUAUUUAAUUAACCUUUCAAGUGUAUUUAUUCUUAUGGCUUCUACCCUAGGCGUUAUGUGCCUUUGAAUCUAUAUACUCUUCCUGUUAUAUUGAUUAUGUUGCAGUCCAGAACACUUGACCUACAUCCAACUACUUUCUGAUUAUCUCCAUGUGAUCAUCCCACAGGGGUCUCAAAUUUCCUGUAUUUCAAACUGAACUUAUUAUCUCCUUCUAAACUUGGUCAUCCCUCUUUCCUCCCUGCCUUAGUGAAUGAUGUGAAGGUGUACCAACCACCUAAACCAAAACACUGAUAGUAAUCCAGGACCGCAU